AUUGAACGCUGGCGGCAGGCCUAACACAUGCAAGUCGAGCGAGCGGCGGACGGGUGAGUAAUGUAUGGGGAACUGCCUGAUGGAGGGGGAUAACUACUGGAAACGGUAGCUAAUACCGCAUACCAUCAGAUGAACCCUGAUGGGAUUAGCUAGUAGGUGGGGUAACGGCUCACCUAGGCGACGAUCCCUAGCUGGUCUGAGAGGAUGAUCAGCCACACUGGGACGGAGACCCGUCCCAGACUCCUACGGGAGGCAGCAGUGGGGAAUAUUGCACAAUGGGCGCAAGCCUUAUGCAGCCAUGCCGCGUGUAUUAAGAAGGCCUUCGGGUUGUAAAGUACUUUCAGUCGGGAGGCGUUACCGGCAGAAGAAGCACCGGCUAACUCCGUGCCAGCAGCCGCGGUAAUAC
rnacentral:rRNA from 1 species